GUGAUAUGAACCGUUAUAACCGGCGAUACCCGAAUGGGGAAACCCAGUGUGACUCGUCACACUAUCAUUAACUGAAUCCAUAGGUUAAUGAGGCGAACCGGGGGAACUGAAACAUCUAAGUACCCCGAGGAAAAGAAAUCAACCGAGAUUCCCCCAGUAGCGGCGAGCGAACGGGGAGGAGCCCAGAGCCUGAAUCAGCAUGUGUGUUAGUGGAAGCGUCUGGAAAGGCGCGCGAUACAGGGUGACAGCCCCGUACACAAAAGCGCAUGUGCUGUGAGCUCGAUGAGUAGGGCGGGACACGUGGUAUCCUGUCUGAAUAUGGGGGGACCAUCCUCCAAGGCUAAAUACUCCUGACUGACCGAUAGUGAACCAGUACCGUGAGGGAAAGGCGAAAAGAACCCCGGCGAGGGGAGUGAAAAAGAACCUGAAACCGUGUACGUACAAGCAGUGGGAGCCCCACCACCAAAGCAUUUGCUGUACCGCGUUGACGGAGCGAAGCGACGUCAAACCGAUAAAACAGCAGUGUAAAGUGAGCCGCAGGGCGCUUUGCGCGACAGCGCAAAGGCAGGCGGUUUCGCGUAGCGAAAGCGAAUGCUUUGGGGUGGGGUGACUGCGUACCUUUUGUAUAAUGGGUCAGCGACUUAUAUUCUGUAGCAAGGUUAACCGAAUAGGGGAGCCGGAGGGAAACCGAGUCUUAAUUGGGCGUUAAGUUGCAGGGUAUAGACCCGAAACCCGGUGAUCUAGCCAUGGGCAGGUUGAAGGUUGGGUAACACUAACUGGAGGACCGAACCGACUAAUGUUGAAAAAUUAGCGGAUGACCUGUGGCUGGGGGUGAAAGGCCAAUCAAACCGGGAGAUAGCUGGUUCUCCCCGAAAGCUAUUUAGGUAGCGCCUCGUGAAUUCAUCUCCGGGGGUAGAGCACUGUUUCGGCUAGGGGGCCAUCCCGGCUUACCAACCCGAUGCAAACUGCGAAUACCGGAGAAUGUUAUCACGGGAGACACACGGCGGGUGCUAACGUCCGUCGUGAAGAGGGAAACAACCCAGACCGCCAGCUAAGGUCCCAAAGUCAUGGUUAAGUGGGAAACGAUGUGGGAAGGCCCAGACAGCCAGGAUGUUGGCUUAGAAGCAGCCAUCAUUUAAAGAAAGCGUAAUAGCUCACUGGUCGAGUCGGCCUGCGCGGAAGAUGUAACGGGGCUAAACCAUGCACCGAAGCUGCGGCAGCGACACUGUGUGUUGUUGGGUA
rnacentral:rRNA from 1 species